AAUGAACGUUGGCGGCGUGGAUUAGGCAUGCAAGUCGUACGGGUCGGUGUAGCAAUACAACGGCAAGUGGCGAAAGGGAGAGUAACACGUAGAUACCUACCCUCUGGUCGGGGAUACCGCGGCAUAACCGCAAGUAAUACCCGAUAAAAUCCCCGGAUCAAAGGUGUGAUUCCGCCGGAGGAGGGGUCUGCGUUCUAUCAGCUUGUUGGUGAGGUAAUGGCUCACCAAGGCUAAGACGGAUACGGGGUGUGAGAGCAUGCCCCCGCUCACUGGGACUGAGACACUGCCCAGACACCUACGGGUGGCUGCAGGCGAGAAUCUUCGGCAAUGGGCGCAAGCCUGACCGAGCGACGCCGCGUGCGGGAUGAAGGCCUUCGGGUUGUAAACCGCUGUCGAGGGCAAUGAAGUGUAGGUGGGUACUUCCAUCUAUUUGACAGAUCCCUGGAGGAAGCAUGGGCUAAGUUCGUGCCAGCCGCCGCAGUAACAC
rnacentral:rRNA from 1 species